GCGGCUGUAGUAUAAUGGUAGUAUACAGGACUGUGGAUCCUGGGACCCGGGUUCGAUUCCCGGCAGUCGCC
rnacentral:tRNA from 1 species